AUUUACACAGUGAAUGGCCCUGCUUUUGGAGCAAGUUAAUGUUAUAAUAUCCCCAUUUAUAUUCAGAACAGUCAACACUUUUGAGCUCUCAGAAUAAUAAAAGCACCUGCAUUUAAUAUACAUGGAAGAAUGGAAAGGCAAAUAGCAGAUAAGGCACAAUCAGGGAUUGAACUCGGGACCUUGGGCUUGUGAGGCAGGCGGUGGAACCAUUGAGCUAAAUCCCUGGUCUGGCCUCAAACUUGUGAUCCACCUGCCUCAGCCUCCCAAGUACCUAGGAUUACAGACAUCUCCAAAUUUUAGUGAAAUCUGCUCGACACUUCUGAAUGCCUCUACGUCUCCAUGAUGGAUCAGAAAUAUGCAUAUCUCUACAAGGAUAGCAUGGAAGAAAAGAACUGUCUCUAGGGGCACACAGGUGGCUGCUCUGUGGACAUGUGCCAUCCGAACACCCGGUCAAGACAACUAAGUAUGCCUUGAUGUUCCAGACAACAUAAGCUAAUUCUGGCUAGAAUUUAUUGAUGAAGACUCAGAUCUUGAAAUCUGAAUUUAAAACAACCAGCUUUUGGAUGAGCCAGACCAAGGACCCCCAGGGACCUUAGAAGCAGAAGAUAAUGGACCUUUUCUAUAGAACAUUGGACUCUUUGUUUCUCACCUUUAGUGGCCUGAUGUCAAAUGGGUCAUCUUAGUCAAGAAGGCAGGCAGGACCAUGUAUUACAAGCCUAAUUGCUGGGGAUUUUUCUGUAUCUGAAGCAAUUAUAGGCAAAGGGAAUGUUUAGAAGUAAUAAAAUUUUAAGACUUUAAGGGUGAAUGACAGAUAAACUACACAUAUUUAAAGUAUAUAAUUUGGUAUAUUUUGACAUGUGUGUAUACACACCAGGAAACUAUCACCAUAAUGAAGAAAAUGAAGAUAUCCAUAUCUCUGCUGGUUUCCUUUCGUCCUUUUUUCUUUCUUCUCUCUCAGUCCUGUGUCCCUCUUCCUGUACCCAGGCAUCAGCUGACCUGCUUCUGUCAUUGUGGAUUAGUUUGCACUUUCUAGAAUUUUACUUAAAUGGGAUCAUAAGUUCUUUUCUGACUUUUUUCAUUCAGUGUAAUUAUUUUGAGACUUAUCCAUGCUGUAGUAUUUAUCAGUACCUUAUUGCUUUUUAUGGGUGAUUAAUGUUCCAUUGGCUGGCUAUACUAUAGUUUAUUCAUUAAGCUGUUGAUGACAUUAGGGUUCUAGUUUGAGGCUAUUACUGAUAAAGUUGGUAUGAAUAUUUACAUGCAAGUGUUUUCUUUUAGACAUUUGUUUUCAUUUCUCUUGAGUAAAACCUAGGAGUAGAAUGGCCUGGUAAUCCUGUAGGUGGGUGUUUUACUUUUUCAUCAACUGCCAAGAAGUUUUUCAAAGUGGUUGUAUAAUUUUCUAUUCCUACUGGCAACAUGUGAGAGUUCUGGUUCUCUAUCAUCACUAGCACUUGGUUAUAUCCAGGACUUACUUUUUUUUUAUUAAGUUUAUUGGUACAUUUUAGGUAUACAAUACAGUUACUUUCACCAUUGGUAUCUUGUACCUUUACAUGAUAUAUAUUGGUUCUUAUUUUUUCCCCCUUCUCCUGCCAUCCCUUCAACCCCUCCACCCUUCCCUAUUUACAAAGACUUUGUUUCCAUUUUUUCAUUUUCUCAUAAUUUUUCCUUUCCCUUCUUUCCUUUCCCCUACCCCUCCCACUUUCCCUUCCUCCUUUGAACCUUUUCUUCCUAUUUCACGUUAUCAAUCAUACAUUUUGAUCCUUAUUUAUACUUUUAGUUUCUCACACCAGAGAAACUAUUUGGUAUUUACAUAUGCAUGCCCUGUUUAUUUCACUUAAGAGUUGCAUAUCGAGGCCAUACUUUAAGUGAAAUAAAUGGGACACAUGUGUAAAUAGCGAAUAGUUUCUGUAGUGUGAGAAACUGAUAGUGUAAAUAAGAGUUAAAAUGAUUAAAAUGAAUAAUUGAUAAUUUGAAAUAGGAAGAAAGGUCCAAAGACGAAGGAGUGAAGGGAGGGGAAGGGGAAAAGAAAAGAGGGAAAGGAAAAACUAUGAGAAAAGAAAAAAAAAUGGAAAUGAAAUCUAUGUAAAUAGGGAAGGGCGGAACGGGUGAAGGGCGCACUAGUAAUGGGGAAAAAAAAUAAGAACCAAGAUACAUCAUGUACAGAUACAAACACCCAAU
rnacentral:lncRNA from 1 species